CCCCUAAUCUGCACUGGAUACUUUUUUGCCAAGCAGGCAUUAUGAAUAAUUACAUUAUGAGUAAAGUGUUUGACAUCACUGUUGACCUCAAUGGCAAAAACGCUAAUUACAGACUUGAAUGCUAUCUGUGACUUUUCUCACCAAACUUCCGCUUAUCACUUUGAAUCUGUAACAUGUGAAAUGAAUUGAGUCAACAGGAAGCGGGGUGUAGAUCAUGUUUUUUUUCCAAACUGCCGUCUGAGGGGACUGAGCAAUGGAGGAUGGAGGCAGGGCCAUGUCAUACCACAUCAUCAUACCACAUCCUGCCUCACCCUCCAACCUGCACCUUAUGGCUCUGUUGGCGUGGUAAUCAAAACGGACCGUUUCCUCUUGUCAACUUCGAAUGGGUGGCUUCUGGUUCGAGGUAUCCCAUGGGGCCAUAGGGCAGGGUGCGAUAAUGAGUGUUGCUGCAGAAGAGGAAAUUACGAGUAAAGGGGAAGAGGCAGUGAGAUGAGAAAGCUGGACAAUUAGACAUGAUGAGAUUGACUCUGAUUUCCCUCGCCAUGUGCCUUCCUCACCUCCUCGCCACUCUUGUCUUCCAUUCUACCACUGCGGCUUCACCAAGCGCCACAGAAACAACAACAACAGCUCUAGACCUUAGUAUCAGCACUACAACAUCAGACCCCCUGAUAAUUCCACUCUCCACAACUGAAAACCACCCUGGUAGGACUAGUGGCAUGUUCAACACACAAGUGAAGAAAAGCGCUAGCUUAGCAGCUGUCAACAACUCAGGCAGAACGACUCAAGGAAGAGGCAUUCUCAGAACAGGAACUGCCACUUACGCCACCACAGCUGUACAGAAGAGCAACAGGCACAUAACUGCAGGAGACUUGAGGAGGGAAACAGAGAGCCACAAUCACCAUGAGACUCUUCCCUUCAGCAGACACACAGCCUCACCCACAACUGACCACCCCAGCACCACCUCUCUCCCCGGGGAGGAAGGGACUGAGUAUCAUGACAGCAGCACCACUGAAACAGCCAGAGAACUGAGCACACCAAAUUCCAUAGAGACAUGGGCUGCUGACACCAUUAAUGACUCCAGGCUAGCGAAGCCACACUUAGACAGGUCACAAGCAGCAGACCAGCACCCUGCUACACAAGGACUAGAGAUUGCAUCAGGAGAUUACUACACAACACAGAGAGACUUCUUCACAAUCACCCCAACUAGUAGAGUGACAGGUUUGAACAGAGGUAAACAAAGUAAGGCCAACAGCGUCACAACAACAACAACAACGGUUUCACCUACGUACACAGUCACACGUCCUGGUUUGUAUGAGCACAUGACUGUGACUUACUGGGCUACCGGCUACAAAACACAACCUGACGACACAAGCCAGUCUAUGGACAACCAGGACCACGCCACCAUUUCAAUCCCCCAUGCUGACAAUAGGACAACUCCAUAUAUCAAUGCAAACACGUUUACAGAUAAUGACACAGACAACGACACAAACACACUUUCACACAGUAAUACCACAACCUCUAAUAAUCGUAACACAACAGUACUUUUGAAGGAGAAAACUCAUUCAUUCAGACACAACCACACAAUCUCAGGUUAUGACAACAGGCUGAACAACACAACUGAAAACACUGUGCAUGAUCGUCCUGAGUGCGGAGAGGCAGAUGAAAGGUCCCUGUCGUUGCUUCCUGGCUCUUCUAGACUGGUCUGUUUCAUUGUUCUGUGGGCUCUGGGAUUGACUGCUUCGGUCUUCCUCGGUCUCACUGUCUUCCUGUGGGUGCGUUUGUCAGUCCAGAGAGAGAGGGGAAGGAGAGUGAGGAGAGGAGGAGAGAAUGUGUCAGGGGUGGAUCUGGAGAACCUGUGGGUCGACCAGAUGUCGUCGGUGGAGGAAAGGGUUGAAUUCUGGUACACCAACGGCUCCACCAUGGGACCCGACCAUAAACGGAGGGAGAGAGAGAGAGAGAGGGUGAAGGAGAGGGGGAGGAGGGAGCAGGGGAGGCAGAAAGGGAUAGAGUGUGACAACCUGUGGACUCAACCCAAAGUGACACUGGAGGACAUCACUGAUUUCUGGUAUGCAAAUGGAAGAGCGAUACCAGAAGAAACUACAGACCAAACGCUGUUGGAGACCUGCGUAUGAUUCUGUUUUUUGUACUACAGUACUACAAUUUACCUGGAAUUACUUUGGAGAGAAAUGUUCAUCAUUAUUUUACCAAUUCCAUGGCAGAUUUGAACACUGUAAUCCUGACCAAGUUUAAACAUUUCCAAAAUGAAUUGAUAAUCUGUAUGUUUAUUGGCUGUAACAAAAGUAUAAGUAUGUGAUCUACAUAAGUCUACGGAAAGAUAGAUUAAGGCUGGGUCUGAUCAGAGAGAAAGAAGAGGACAGAGAGAGAGGAAUAGAGAGAGAGAUCAGAACAAUGUCUAACUGGAAAUAACACUUGAUAAGAGAGUUCCCAUUUUAAGACAAUUCAGACCUUGUUAGAGACACAUCAUCAUCGUGUGUCAGACAGCAACGAGGAGAUAGGUGCCAUUUCUACAAACACACUGACACAAAUACGGUUGACUCCUAAUACUGUACAUGCACUGUUAUUAGGAGCUAGUCAAAUAAAAAGGACUGCACUGGGCGUAAACAACUUAGUUUCAUUUACCUGACUGACCAUGUUUACACGCGCACAGCAUUCCAGAUAAUAGCUCAUAACCUAGUUAAGGUCUUAUUCGAGAUAAGCUGUUAAAAUACAUCUUUGAUAUCCCGCUUACGAGUAUCCCUGUAUAAACAGAAUAUUCCUAAAUUUACCCAUGAUACUAUGCAAAACUGAGCUUGUACAAACAAUGUAAAACAACAGUAAACGGAAUAAUAUAUUUGUAUGACACAGUAUCCCGUCUACAAUCAGCAUAUCCCAGGCAUUUUAACUGGGUUUCUCAUAACCGGGACACAAGCUUAUUCGGGUUAUUGUAAACGGGAUAUGAUGCUAAUAUGCGGCAACUAAAAAACGGAAUACUAGAAUAUCCCAAAUAGUAACGGAAUAUCGGUGUGCCUGUGAACAUGGUGACCUAUCAGGAAUUGACUAUAGGUCUACCUCACAAUUGAUAGUGGAUCGGCCAUUUGAUCAAUAAUGUAUAACUGUAAAUACAGUAGAAAAUAUACCCUUGUAGAAUUUAACACCUAACCAGCUGAAGUUUGACAUAUAAUGUCCCAAGACAUGAGAUUUUUUUUUUUUAUUACAUUAUAAAACAGAAUUUUCAUCAUACUCUCUCUACUUUGAAUUCUCAUGUUUUGACAACCUAUGCCCUUUGACUGCCUGCUCCCCACACACACGCACACACACCGUCAAACAAACACACAUCCAAGUAGGCCUGUGUGUACGUGUGCAAACACACUCUGGCUCAAACAUUUCAACACACACACACAGCUUCUUCUCUUUGUAGGACCAACUUCUCCUUUUUCAUCAAGAAAAUAAGCACAUGACGCAAUAAACAAAAUGAAGCUACUCUUAAGUUAUUUGGCACCUCUCUAACCCCACCACUUUCGCAGUUAACAAAACUGUUUUACGAAGAAUUUGAUACUCUGAGGGGAAGAGAUAGAGAGAACCAACUAGAGAGAGAAAGGGAGGGGAGAGAAAGAAGGGAGUGAACAGGAGGGAGGGAGGGAGGGAGCGAGCGAGCGAGAAAGGUGUUUUGGACAUGUACUAGUGCACGAGAUGUCAUUCACACAGUACAGGAGUUAAAGCAUGUGCCUUUAAGGUGGAUUCAUAAUUUCAAUCCAAUCGUUUUCUCCAAGCAACAUGUGGGUCUCGUGCUUUUUUUGGUUCACCGUUGCUGCAAUCUCUCACGCUACACUUGAAAUAGACAGCUGAUACAGAAAAGUAAAGUGAAGUGCAGGGGAGUAGGAGGAAAGCUGAAGUGCGCGAGAGGAAGAGAAGGGUUGUGUCUUUCCGGUCUAUUUGCACCUAAAUACACCCUAGUGAACAACAAGCCCAGCAACCAGGAGAGACAGCAAGAGAACACAAGUUUGACUAUGUAAGUGCACUUCAUAUGCCUAACACUCAGUCAAACCUUUGUUAAUAAUCUAAGGCAUGGCCUGAAAGAAAGGGAAAUUCCGAGAGCAGUGAAGAUCAAAGCCUGACACACAAUCGUUGUCAAACCAAGAACCCCGGUACCUGAUGACGGAUACCGCUUUUCUUUUCUAGAAUGUACAUUUUUCUGCUCUAGACUUGUAAAACAAACCUCCAAUACCUUUCAAGCCACAACGCUGUCGCUGAUGCACCUCAGAAAGAGGAAGACAAACGUAAUCUGAGAGAUCAGCAAAACCCUUCAGGGACGGUUGACCUCUGUGACCCCUCUCACUUCUUGCCCAGUAUGGAGCGGAUACAGCUGAUGCUUGGGGCUCUGCUCCUCUCCCUCUCUCUGCCCAGUCUCCCUGCCCAAGAUAAUGUCACCGUCACUGUACCUGAGAAUGUCACCAUGGCAGCACCUAUUAAUGAGGAAGUCACGAUGGCAGCCUCUACACCGGAGGCCACCAUAGAGACAACGCCUGCUCCUGUGGUCAUCACUAGGGCACAGCCUGCCCCUGAAAUCAUCACCCCGGUAACUGCUAUUCCGAAAGUAACUUCUGUUUUAGUACGUACCACUGAUGCCAUCACUAUGGUAAUAACAAACCCUGAGAUCACCAUCGUUCAGGAGUCCACCUCUGAUGCACCAACUACUACUUCAGAGGUUGAAACGAUGACACCUUCCCCUGUGACCACUGAAGGGCCUAUAGAUACGACCAAUCCACCUGGUCCUAAACCCACCCUCUCCCAAGACGUCCUUAUGACCGCCUCUUAUCUCCCAACCCCUUCCCAGGACCACCUGACAUUUGUUAUCCCAGUCUGGCCCCUCCAAACCACCCCUCAUCUGACGGAGGACUCCACUUACACACCUGAACCUACACCUGCCUCAGAGAUUACUGCCUACCACACAGAGGGACUUACCACUGCACCCACCUCCCCAUUGGUCAAUCCCCCUCCCGGCCAUGCCACGACCCCCGCUACCACCCACACCUCCACAGAUCCAGACUCUACGGUGGCUGGGGUCAGGGUGAAGACAGGUCAGCCCAGCUUGUUAUGGGUCAUCAUCGUUGCUCUCCUGAUCGUGGUUAUAUUCGCGGGCGGGUUCUACUGUGUUUGUCUGGUCAUCAGACGAAAGAGGCAGAGCCACACCGAGUACUUUGUGUCCAGCUUCCGGAACGGGAAGAGUUCCAAGCGGAAGAAAGGGGCGGAGGAAGACGCCUGGGCAGGGCCAGUGAAGCUAGGGCGUGGGGAUGGGGAGGAGGAUGAGGGUGGGGAGGAGGGAGGGAGCCCAGAGGACAACAAGAGAGAGGGGGCUGGAACGGAUGUGGUGCUGAGCACAUUCAUAGCCAACGAGACUGAGGGAGAGAGGGGUGGGCCUGAUGGGGGAGUAGGAGUGGCUGGGAGCAAGGAGGCAGAGAAAUGGGAGGAGAAGGAGCCUCUGCUGUACAUUGAUGAGGGAGUGGAGGAGGGGCAAGAGAGGAUGGCUCUUCCUUCACUUUCAAAAUCGAACUGAGAAAAGACAGGAGGGGAAAAAAGAGAGGGGGAAAGUGAAAAAGAAAUGGAGAGGGGAGAAGGGAAUGGAAAGAAAGAAAAUUAGAGUGAGAGGUAAGAAGAAUGGAGGAGCGGCAUUCUGUCUAACCACUGCAGUUUAAAAAUAGAAGAGUUUUCCAUAAAAAGAUUUUCUAGGUGAUAAUGUAAAAGUUAAAAAUAUUUUUGUACUACUGAAAAGGCCUUUGACAUUGUAUGUAUCUGUGAUUGUGUGCUCUGUCAACAUAACUCAGGGAAGAUAGGAGUGGUUGUGUGCAUGGUCAUAAGUUUUACCCUUGGUAUUUUGUAUGCUGUUUUGUCUUAAUGUUUUUUUGUUAAAUAAAGUUUUAGAUGUGCAGAGUGCAUGUUCUAGAAUGAAGUUGUUGAACGUGGCAGAAUAUUAAUACUUUUUGCUUAACAAUUUGCGGUCUUCAAAUGCACUUUAUUUAUGGAACUGCUUAAAUCAAUAGCAAUCAAUUCAUAGGUGCAAAUCUGAACUUCCACUGAGACAAAUAGUCACUUAGUCUCCCAUUGACAUCAUGACUAAGUGAAUAUUCAACUUCAGUGGAAGUUGGGAUUUGUCCCAUAGAAAAGGCUUUGUUUACUUGAUUUGAUAUGGGGUUCCCGAGUGGCGCAGCGGUCUAAGGCACUGCAUCUCAGUGCUAGAGGCGUCACUACAAACACCCUGAUUUGAAUCCAGGCUGUAUCACAACCGGCUAUGAUUGGGAGUCCCAUAGGGUGGUGCACAAUUGGCCCAGCAUUGUCCGAGUUUGGCCGGUGUAGGCUGUGAUUGUAAAUAAGAAUUUGUUCUUAAUUGACUUGCCUGGUUAAAUAAAAAAAACAUACGUGUUGCUGAUUAUGGCCACUAGGUUGUGCCCUUUCCCCAUCUUUAUGAUCAGAGCACAGUUCAAUGUGACCUGCAGUAAAGAGCGGUGUUGUGAUGACGCACAGGUCUUCUAUUCUACUGGUCUGUUUUUUCUGAAGUUGCAUCUGUUGCAAACGUCUAGCAGAGAAAACAGCAGAGAUCAAAAACAGUUGUUCAGGCAAACAACUCAGUCAUAGAACCCCUCUGAUGUGAUGUGAUCACAAAUUAAACUUAAAGCCACAACAACCGCUUUUAGUAAGAUUGAUCCUUGGUAAAUAGAAAAUGUUAUCCUGGCCACUACACCACCUCAACCUUCGUCAACUAUUAUUUCAGGAAGGGGAGUAAGUAUGUGUGUGGGUUGGGGGAGGGGGGUGCGUACAACAGAAUCAGAGGAAAUAGAAGAGAAACAAAUCUGCAACUCUGUCAAAUAAAUGCCUUAAUGUCUCUCUGCUCUGCUCUGCUGAAUAGGAUAAUCUGACAGAGAAUAAUGUUUGUUUAGAGAGAGAGAAGGAGAGAGGUAGAGAGUGUGAAAGGGAGGAGGGAGAGAGAUGUGGUGAGUAAGGGGAUGGAGGUGUGGAGGAAGAAGGGGCGCUGGAGGAGCGACGGCAAAAAUACUGAGGAGAGGAGAGAGCAAGAGAGAAAAGAGAGCGGCCAACAACACAGUCACAUCUGGAAGUUAUUGAGAAGUAGAGAGAGCGAGGGAGAGAGAAAGAGAGAGAACUAUUGUGAAUUGAAAAGAGGGAGAAAGGAUAAACAAACUCUAGAUGUAGGGAUAGAUAGAUUUAUUAAAUGUAUCAACUGAGUUAAAGAUUUACGGGAGGACAGAGUUUAUCUAAAAGUUGACAAGAAUUCUACAGUGGACAGAGAGAAAGGAACAGAGGAAACAAAGAGAGAGCGCAAGAAACUGUAAUUCUAUCCUAAGAACAAUCCAUACCAAGAGGGGAGGACGACAAAGAGGGAAAAUUAAUGUAGCUUUCUAAUCUGGAGGACCGUCUAAAACAGAACAAAGUGGACUGAAUCAAAACUUAUGUUAUUGAGUUGAAAUUAAAUCAACUCAACAAAGGAGAAGAGUCCAGAGACCAAAAGAGGAGUCCCUUAGUCUGGAAUUCUUCUACGCAUUUGUCUUCCUAUCAGGGCCUGUGGAGUCAACCAUCAGACAGGAUGUCAGCCUCUCGGAGGUGCCUGUGCUGCGUGAAAUACCUCAUGUUCGUCUUCAACCUCAUCUUCUGGCUGGGAGGGUGUGGCCUGUUUGGAGUGGGAGUGUGGCUAUCAUUCACCCAGUCCGAGUUCUCCUCCCUCCCGCUGUCUUUUCCCUCACUCUCUGCAGCAAACCUACUUCUGGUCGCUGGGGGCGUCACCAUGGUGACAGGCUUCCUGGGUUGCCUUGGCGCCCUGAAGGAGCAGCGCUGCCUGCUGAUGACGUUCUUUGUAAUUCUUUUGAUCCUGGUGUUGACAGAGGUGACUCUAACCCUGGUCCUCCAUAUCUUUCACAACGAGUUCAAGUGCUGCGGCGUGACCAACAAAACAGAUUGGUACCUCGUGAUCAACGGAACGCUCCCCUUUUCCUGCUGCUCCAGUGGGAUGGACCAAUGUGUUGAAGGAUGGAUCGAGCCGUGUUAUCAGAAGGCCAGACAGUGGCUCCUGGACAACAUCCUCUCUGUCCUGGUGUUUGGAGUCUGCAUUGGCAUUGUCCAGAUCCUGGCUCUGAUUUUCUCCCUGCUGAUGUACUGCCAGAUCCUCCGUGCUGAGAAGUACUUGGACUGAUCUGGGACUGGUCCUUCACAGACAGGAGAGGCUGAAUGAGAGACUCCCUAGCUGGCGCAGAGUUCAUCUAACGUUUCUUUCAAGUUUUGCUUCGGUUAUUUUAAAAAUAACUUCUCCACACCGCGGUGGGAACUAAAAAAAAGUGUUGGCUGGGUCCUGAAUGUUAUAUACCUGCUGCUGGGGAUGGUUUUUCAGAACAUUAGAUCCAGAUCAAAAUCAUCCUUUUUGCAUGUUCAAUUCUGUUUAAGUUUAAUAAAAUAUAUUUGAAUGAGAACACAUCACACAUUUGAAGGGUUAUUUUCCUCUGGAUUGAUGGUUCUUAGAACACUGCACUAAAAACCAUGGUGCACAUUCCAGGUCGUCUUCAUUGCGGUCAUGUUGCUCAGAUCUCACAACGCCUGGCAAAGUGUAAUUCAUUUGGCUUUGAGAGAUCUGAUCAUCUGGAAUACAGCCCUUUACUUAUCAUGUUUACGGAAGGACAUUAUUUGUAACUAUUGGGGACUACGUGCUACUUGUCACUUUCACUAUUAGCCGAUGAUAUUGUUUAGUAGUGAAAAUAUAAAGUGCUAACUCUGAUGUCCAUGAACAAGCAGUGAGAUUUGCCCCAAAGAAACACUUACAGUAUUCUGUUCAACUGCAGCAUAUUUUAAGCAGAAGUCUAAACUAUACGUUUUAAAGUGAGCCUUACCAAAGCAAAUAAAAUGUAAAUACAUUGUAAUUUGUAUGCAUGUGAAGUGGUAGUUGUUUUGUGAACUUGAGCAUUUUGUAAAAUACACACAUGUAUGACUCUGAUUGUGAAUGCGGUAAUAGUUCAAACAACUUGUUUUCCAUAUUGUGCGUAUGAGGUGUUGUCGGUAUGAAUUCACUUCUCUUAUAGUUGAGACGAGCCUAUGCUUUCAUAUACUUAUUCCGUCCAAUAGACAACUGAAGAGGUAAUUGACUUGCAAUAGGGUUCGUCAUUCUAAUGAAAUAUAUAUCACAUAUAAUUAUAAAUGGACUAUGAAAGUAUGCUAUUUAAUUAUGAUCUGCAGUCAUAACACCAAGUAAUGAAACCCAAACCAAACCGAUGACUACACUGUACAGUUCUUUGUAAAACAUGUCUAUAGAAAAACUUUGAUAAAAAAAUUAUUGUAUAAGUACACAUGAUUUUCAGACAAAUACAAUUGUGACAAUUCACGUGUCGUAGUGUUAUAAAAAGAUAAUGCCUUCUCCGUCUCUCAUCACAGGAGAGACUGAGGUCAUAGGAAGGGCCCUGAGUUCUACCUGACCUGAUCGGAAACAACUCCAGGCCUUAGUCCUAGAUUAGAGUUCAUACAGUAUUCCUGUGUUCACCAUUCAAAGGAAGUAGUGAGGAUUUCCCGAGCUGCCUUGACGGUGUAGGGUUGUCAGUCGUACUCCAAAAUCUCUAGCAAACUGAACGAUACUUUCCUGCAGAUGGAAAAUGGGAGGUGUGGGAUUAGAUUUUGAGGGAAAAUCAGAACCAGAUGCCUGAUGUGGUCAGUGACUUCUGCCUCCUGGUGGUUGUGUUUGGAAACAACCUUUAAACAGACAGGGGGCGCCAAUGUCCACAUUUACAUUUUUUAAAAGAGGGGUUAUCUUACAAUGUCACGAAAACGAUGCGCAAGCUUCAAUGGGGCAAAAAUCCGUGUGUUGUUGCGAUUCUGGAUGGCCAGAAGGCUAGCAACAAUGACAAGAUGCCAUGUGGGGAAUUGUAAGUGGCUCGUUUCAGCUAGUUUUAUCUUGUUCUUGAUACCAUACCAUGUCUUGUUUUGAG
rnacentral:lncRNA from 1 species